CUCCAACUCUGCAAACACUGAUGCUACAGCGGAACGGAUGAGUCAGCUCAAGGAACUGGGACACAUCAGUUUUACAAUGUCACUGAUGGUGGAGAGGAGAGUCAGGUCAGGUACUGAUCACAAGACAAAUCCUGCCCGAAUCAUCAC